rnacentral:rRNA from 1 species
CGACUGCUAAUACCCGAGUGUGCCGGAAAGGUGAAAAAUUUUUUGCGCUCAAGAGGAGCUCGCGUCUGAUUAGCUAGUUGGUGGGGUAAAAGCGUACCAAGGCAACGAUCAGUAGCUGGUCUGAGAGGAUGAGCAGCCACACUGGGACUGAGACACGGCCCAGACUCCUACGGGAGGCAGCAGUGGGGAAUUUUCCGCAAUGGGCGAAAGCCUGACGGAGCAAUACCGCGUGAGGGAGGAAGGCCUUUGGGUUGUAAACCUCUUUUCUCAGGGAAGAAGAUCUGGCGGUACCUGAGGAAUAAGCAUCGGCUAACUCCGUGCCAGCAGCCGCGGUAAUACGGAGGAUGCAAGCGUUAUCCGGAAUUAUUGGGCGUAAAGCGUCCGCAGGUGGUCUUUCAAGUCUGCUGUCAAAGACCAGAGCUUAACUCUGGGCAGGCGGUGGAAACUGAGAGACUAGAGUUCGGUAGGGGUAGCGGGAAUUCCCAGUGUAGCGGUGAAAUGCGUAGAUAUUGGGAAGAACAUCGGUGGCGAAGGCGCGCUACUGGACCGAAACUGACACUCAGGGACGAAAGCUAGGGUAGCG